GGGCUGAUGCCGGGGUUGCCAGCACAGCUCUGGUCCAAGGAGCUGAGGUGAGGGGGUGGACAGGCCCCAUCCCAGAGUCUCAGGGAGGCUGGUGCUGGCUUCCAGGCUCGGCCGGGCAUGUCACUGCCAGCCAGCACCAGGGACCCCACCUGGCACAGGCCCUCCCUCCACACCUGCCCAGGGCCCUCCCUCUGUUCCUGCCUGCUGAGGCAGCCUCUGCUGGCUCCCAGGCCUAGAUCCCAGCUGGAAGUCAGGCGGAGGUCUCCUGAGGGAUUUCCAGAACCUUCCUUCGGUGGCCCCGGAGCUUUUCUCCACCAGGCCUUUGGGCUUGUCUCCAUUUCAAGUUCUCUUUUUCUGCUGGGGGAUCUCUGGCCAACAGCCCUCCUCCGGGACGCUGCCCUUCCCUUGUGUGGGACCUUCCCCUGACUGACUGAUGGACAUGGGUGGACAGACGGCUGGCCUCUGCAUCAAGACGGGACCUGCAUGGGAGCCACACAAGCUCCGGUGUCCUGUGUGGCCGGGCUGCCUGCACAUCCUGCCUGCACGUCCUGCCCAUUCAUGUUUCUUUUCCCAGCUGCCCCCACAGGGGCACGCGGCCCUCAGGACCAGGAGCGCCACAGGAGGCAGCUGGCAGGGCAGGCUCUGCAGGUGGCUGUUUGGCCUGCCGAUGGGGUGCAGGUUCCGCUGCUGGGGCAGGUCCGGGGUUGACAGUCACCAGAGGCCGUAGUGGUGGGACUGCAGCUGUUGCUAAGAGCCACUGAUGCACCGAGGAGAGAAAACGACAGGUUCGGGCCUGCUAAUCAUCCAGUUGGAGCACGUGGGAGUCAGAGGGCCACCCGGAAGCCUCGAAGGAGAAGCUCCCUUCCUGCAGUCGGGGCAGAGAGAGUUUGGCGGUGAGGCCCAGGACUUGCUGGAAGCAGGCAGCAUGCUGGAGAAGGUGUUUCUGACUGGGGUGACCACCCUAAGCGCCCUCCCUCUAUCCUGGUGAAACUGGAAUCCUCACACACCCCACAGAGGUGACUAUUCUUGCUGACCAGCACCACAGAGAUGACCUUUGGCCUGUUGGGGAAUUGGGGGCCCGAGUUCUGCAUCCUGGCACAUGUUUGCAUAUGCCGAUGGGGUCCUCUGAGGGUGCGCCUCUGCCUGAGGCCAGCGCUGGGCCUCUGGCCUCUGGUUGAGACCUACGGGGCUCACACCUUCCUGUUCGUCUGCUCCAGCGUCUUCUUGCUGUUUCAUGAAUCUGAUGCUCCUCAGCAACCUCCUCUCUCAGGAACCCUGGGGACCCAGCACGUCAUUAAUCAUCGGGACCAGGGAGGUGCCACCGCUUCUCCCAGCAGGACAGGCCAGUCCUGCAGUGGCCAUGCUGGACAGCCACACCCAUGGGAGGGUAGAGGAGAGGCACGAAGACCACAGCCUCUGCCCGUGGCCACACGGGCAUUGUUGCUCCCAGGGUCUGGCUGAGGGUCCCUGCGUGCCAGACCCAGAUCAUGUCCAGAUGGCUCCUGAGCAGGGAGGUGCAGGCUGGGGAGGGAUCCCAGGGCCGUGGGAGCCUGCUGAGGGCAGCACACAUCGCAGGCACCUGCAGGAAUACGGCUCUGCGGGGGCCUGCUCUGUGAAAUGGGGGAGGGCACUGCAGGGCGAAGAACUAGAGUGAGCAAAGGUGUGGGGGGAGGAGUGGGUGCCGGGCACACUGCACCCUCAGCAGACCCUGAUCCAGCUGCCUGCAGGCUGGAGGCACCAGCGAAGGGCAGAAAGGGCCUGUGCGGUGUGGAGGGGCCGGGGUGGUGAUGGGGCUCACAGGGGAGGCAGGACAGGACUGGCUUU